rnacentral:rRNA from 1 species
CUUAUCUAUGCUGUCGCUGGGUUUUCCUCUUGUGCUCAGCUCAAAUUGUNUCGGACUGUCUCUUGAGGCAACAAAAUCUCUAUUGAUCGACCUCAAAUCAGGUAGGACUACCCGCUGAACUUAAGCAUAUCAAUAAGCGGAGGAAAAGAAACUAACAAGGAUUCCCCUAGUAACUGCGAGUGAAGAGGGAAGAGCUCAAAUUUAAAAUCUGUCAGUCUUUGGCUGACUGAGUUGUAAAUUAGAGAAGUGCUAUCAGUGCUGGCCUGUGCAAAAGUCUCUUGGAAAAGAGCAUCAUAGAGGGUGACAAUCCCGUCUUUGGUACAGAUCUCCAGUGCUUCCAUGAUGCGCUCUCGAUGAGUCGAGUUGUUUGGGAAUGCAGCUCUAAAUGGGUGGUAAAUUCCAUCUAAAGCUAAAUAUUGGCGAGAAACCGAUAGCGCACAAGUACCGUGAGGGAAAGAUGAAAAGAACUUUGAAAAGAGAGUUAAACAGUACGUGAAAUUGUUGAAAGGGAAACGCUUGAAGUCAGUCGCGUUCUUCAGAAAUCAACCUGACUUUGGUCUUGCUUACUUUCUGUUGGAUGGGUCAGCAUCAAUUUUGAUCAUUGGAUAAAGGCCUUGGGAAAGUGGUAUCUCUGGAUGUGUUAUAGCCCUUGGAUCACAUACAAUGGUUGGGAUUGAGGAACUCAGUGUGAAUUUGGAGGUUUGCUCACAACACGCACUUAGGAUGCUGGCAUAAUGGCUUUAAUCGAC